rnacentral:lncRNA from 1 species
UUCGAUUCAUCUUCAUGGGCAUCUUCAUCUCAUCCAUCACACAACACACAACCUAGCUAGCUACUGCUGUUGAUCGAUCUUGCACACCCAACUGAAGGUCGACGCAUGGCAUCCAAGGGUCUCAUAGUGGUUGCUGUCCUGCUUGCUGCGGCUUUCCUCGUGGCCACAGCUGAACAAACUCGUGAGCGUACUAGUAGAGUAGUUUUCAACUGAUUCGAUCACUGUAUAAACUAGGCAUACACGCAGUAUCGUAUUUAUCAUCAUUACGCUAGUUAAGAAACCCUGCUGCUGCUGCUGCUGCAACUAAUUAAAUGUACACCGUUUCUGCUCAUGCAGAGGCCAACAAGGAAGAGACCCAGGCCGGUGUUCAGGGUGGCUACCCCGGCGGCGGUGGCGGUUGCGGUUGUGGCGGAUAUUCUGGACCCGGUGGAUACCCUGGACACGGCGGGGGCGGCGGCAGCGGCGGAGGUCCGCAACUAAGUGCCGGAUGCAGCAGCGUGCAUGCGUAGUAUAGACGUACUACCGUUGCUAGGUGCACGCACGUAGCAACUACUCGUGUGCAUGGUCAAUAAGAAGGUAGUGCAUGUGUAUGUAUACGUACACAUUGCACAGUUAUCUUGAUCCAAUACCAGGACUCCGUUCUGGUCAAUGGUGUUUCUGUUUACCCCUGUAAGAGUUGUCUUUCUUGCUCAAUAUGCAGGAAACUAUCGUUCAUGCAUGUUAUAACAAAGGGAGCCACUAGAUUUCAAUCGACUGAAUAUAAUACUCCCUUUGUCCGAAAAAACUUGUCCCUCAAGUAAAUGUAUUUAAC